rnacentral:misc_RNA from 1 species
AACCUGCGGUUGGAUCACCUCCUUACCUGAAGAUACCUUCCCGCGCAGUGUCCACACAGAUUGUCUGAUAGAAAAUAACGAGCAACGUGUCUUUCGAAGACAGACUUAAUUGUCCCCUUCGUCUAGAGGCCCAGGACACCGCCCUUUCACGGCGGUAACAGGGGUUCGAAUCCCCUAGGGGACGCCAAAGCUUGGUGACAGGUGAAAGAUGUUACCCACAUAUCUUAAAGAUGACUUACGAGUCAUGUUUAAGAUAUUGCUCUUUAACAAUCCGGAACAAGCUGAAAAUUGAAACGACGUGUCGUUUUCAUUCUCCGUAAUAAGAAUGAAAAAUGCGAUACGUUCGAGUCUCUCAAAUGCUUGCAACACGCAGCGUUGUAAAACGCCUGUGGGUUGUG